rnacentral:rRNA from 1 species
ACGAACGCUGGCGGCAUGCCUAACACAUGCAAGUCGAACGAGACCUUCGGGGCUAGUGGCGCACGGGUGCGUAACGCGUGGGAACCUGCCCUUAGGUUCGGAAUAACUCCCCGAAAGGGGUGCUAAUACCGGAUAAUGUCUUCGGACCAAAGAUUUAUCGCCUUUGGAUGGGCCCGCGUUGGAUUAGCUAGUUGGUAGGGUAAAAGCCUACCAAGGCGACGAUCCAUAGCUGGUCUGAGAGGAUGAUCAGCCACACUGGGACUGAGACACGGCCCAGACUCCUACGGGAGGCAGCAGUGGGGAAUAUUGGACAAUGGGCGAAAGCCUGAUCCAGCAAUGCCGCGUGAGUGAUGAAGGCCUUAGGGUUGUAAAGCUCUUUUACCCGGGAUGAUAAUGACAGUACCGGGAGAAUAAGCUCCGGCUAACUCCGUG